UGGUGUCCAGACGCCAGAUGCUACAGGGCAUGGUGCCCAGGGCAGUGCGGGUGGCAUCCUGCUGCUGAAGCCGUACCUGUACAUAUCUGAGGAGGGUCUGCCACAAGGGUUUGAGAUUAGGUUCCUGUAGAGCCUGGGAGGCUGCAUGCAGAAACUGUUGCAUGAAUUGCUGCAAAAGCAAAAGCUGCAAGAGCUGAAGGCUGUCUGGAGGAUGCUUCUGCUCUAUAGCAGAGAGUGCUGUGGUGUCCUGAGUCAGGGCAACCAGAAUAAGAAGAGAAACGGCUUUUCUGUCCCUCAGAGAGAAAAUUAGCCAACUGCUUGUGUGAGGAUUUUUUCCCCCUUCCCUCGAGCAUCUGGAAGGGCCAGUUGGAGGACUUCUAUUACAUGGUUGCAACUUCGGCAAGUCCUACUGCAGAGCUACUGAAUUUGAAGAUGAAUUCAUAAGUCCUUCCUUCCCCAUGCACAGAAAAUUAAUGUUCACAUUAAAACCCAAUCUUCAAAUCAGAAAGAGAUGUUUUUCAUGCAGUUCCUCUGUCAGGCAGCAGUACACAGGACUUAUUCGGGGAACCAGAAGAUCAGAAGCCUCUGAGCUAGAGGGAUGCUUAUGUAUGUUCCAAAUACUUCAAUAAUCGACUCAACUGCAUAGGAUGUGAAAAAACCUGAGUCCCAAUGUACACUGCAAAAAUACUAUAUUAAACGUGACU